rnacentral:lncRNA from 1 species
GGCUAUGAAGCCUUUGGACCCUAAGCAGAGACAGUACCUCAAUCAGUUAAGGAUGGGUGGGGCCUACAUCCCAUAGGGAUGUGAGGAAGUGGGUAGAUCUAUGUAGCUGGAAGGCCUGGGAGAAAUGUAGUCCUGUCCGCUGUGGAGUGGGGACUCAGGCCAGUCAACUGGGAGAGAGGCCGUUUGUGAGGUCUCAGGGUAGAUCUAGCGUUCAGGAUGCUGGAGAACAGGCAUUCCUGGGUCGUCGGUGUUUGCUGCAUCCUAGUGUUGGGUCUGGAGGCACUUGGUACCAGGCAGAUGCAGGGAGGACACAAGCCUGGGCUGAGAAAGGACAAGGGGCCUGAGGGUAUGGAGGAGGUGAGCUGAGGCCGUAUACAGAGCCUGGAGACUUGUGGAGCUGGAAGAGGGACAGGCAUCAGGGUGAGCAACAGGGACCUGUGAGCGGGCUGCGGCGUGGGAUGAGGAAGCAUGGAGGUAGACAUCACUCCAGGGCUCACAGGAGUCUCCAGAUCCCUUCCUGUUUUCCAACAUGUCAGGGGCACUUCAGGGACUCACUUGCUCCUUGUCUUCCCAAGGCUACCUGGCUGAUGGCAGAGGCAGGCAAGCGUCACAGCAGGUGUAUGGGUCUCUCUGUUUUGGAUCCCACAGCCCAGCUUGGUGGUCCCCCGGCACAUAGUAGGCUCCUUCUCUCGGCUUGCUGAAUCUCCUUUCCUUGCAGUCAGUGCAGCCAGCACCCCCUACCCCCAAUUCCACCCCUACCCCAGCUCAGCCACCUACUGUGCCCCAGCACUGGGUGCUCUAAGCUGUCUGCCUCCCUCCCACAGAGG